ensembl:lincRNA Meg3 maternally expressed 3
NGCCUCCUGGUGCCUGUUGGACCAUCCCUUGCUGGUUCUUCAUUUCCUGUGGGCCUAGUUUCCAGGGGCUGAGUGACCAGGGUCUUAAAACAGGUUUAAGGCUUGGCUUGCUGGCCCUGGAGAUCCCGUCGCCGUCUUCGUCGAACUCGAAAUCCUAGCCAUCGUCCUUCCCUGGCCUGUCGCGUCUUCCUGUGCCAUUUGCUGUUGUGCUCAGGUUCCACGAGCUGCCCAUCUCCACAGAAGAGCAGCUGGCAUUGCCCACCGGCCAUGCCGGCUGAAGAAAAGAAGACUGAGGACCCCAGGAUGCCCAGCGCGAGGACCCCAGGAAGCCCAGCGCGAGGACUCCACCCACGACGCCCAGCGCGAGGACUUCACGCACAACACGUUGCAACCCUCCUGGAUUAGGCCAAAGCCAUCAUCUGGAAUCCUGCGUGGGACCCUGGACACACGGACACAGACACCUGCCCCCAGGACCCUCCAACUGUAAAUCGAUUGGAAGCGCCCUUGUGAGCUGGGGCCUUCAAAGGGCUGAGGAGAAAAUGCAGGCCGAGAGACCAGCUUCUCAAAUAGGCUUCAAGCCUCCAUGACCUGAGCUCACCCCCUGGAAAUGUCUGGAAAACAUAAUGGGCAGGUUUUCUGUCUUCAAAGUUUCCA